rnacentral:lncRNA from 1 species
CCGUUAACGCUGGUUGAUGUCGCUAUUUAAAUGCAAAUGUGUGUGUGUGUGUGUGGAGCACUCGCACCUUCACACACACACACACACACACACACACACACACACACACACACACACACACACACACACACACACACACACACACAAAAGGAAACACUUCACCUACAAUAAAGACAAGGAGGCUUUAACACACACACACACAGUCUGUAGAUCAGAAGAUAGAAGUUAAAAUGUUAAAAAUACAAUAAUUAAAUUAAAAUGAUGUUCAUCAACACUAUCAAGGCUUUUAUUUUUGUAAUAUUUGACCUCUUUUGUUGAACAAUCUCCUUCAAAAAUGUACAUUUAAUCAUAAAAUGAAACAUUAAAUCCAUUUAUUUAAACUUCAACAUUUGACUUUUCUAAUUUUAAGUUUAGUUUAGAAUAAAAUAUACAUAAACAAACAAUAUAUAUAAAUAUAAAGAAUAUAUUUUAACUGAGAUUUAAUCUGUGAUAUUUAUUUCCCUUCUUCUUCUUCUCCCCCUUCUCCUUCUCCUUCUUCUCCUUCUUCUCUUCCUUCUUCUCCUUCUUCUUCUCCUUCUUCUCCUUCUCCUCCUUCUUCUCCUUCUUCUCCUCCUCCUUCUUCUGCUCCUCUUUCUUCUCCUUCUCCUUCUCCUUCUUCUCCUUCUUCUCUUCCUUCUUCUCCUUCUUCUCCUUCUCCUCCUUCUUCUUCUCCUUCUUCUCCUCCUCCUUCUUCUGCUCCUCUUUCUUCUCCUCCUCCUUCUUCUUCUUCUCAUUCUCAUUCUCCUUCUUCUCCUUCUUCUCCUUCUUCUUCUGCUCUUUCUUCUUCUCCUUCUUCUCCUUCUUCUCCUUCUCCUUCUGCUCCUUCUCAUUCUUCUCCUUAUUUUCCUUCUUUUUCGGCUCCUUCUUCUUCUCCUUCUUUUUCUUCUCCUUCUUCUUCUGCCCCUUCUCCUUCUCCUUCUUCUCCUUCUUCUCCUUCUUCUUCUCCUUCUUCUCCUUCUCCUCCUUCUUCUUCUCCUUCUUCUCCUCCUCCUUCUUCUGCUCCUCUUUCUUCUCCUUCUCCAUCUUCUAAUUCUUCUCCUUCUCCUUCUCCUUCUUCUCCUUCUCUUCCUUCUUCUCCUUCUUCUUCUCCUUCUCCUCCUUCUUCUUCUCCUUCUUCUCCUCCUCCUCCUUCUGCUCCUCUUUCUUCUCCUCCUCCUUCUUCUUCUCAUUCUCAUUCUCCUUCUUCUCCUUCUUCUCCUUCUUCUUCUGCUCUUUCUUCUUCUCCUUCUUCUCCUUCUCCUUCUGCUCCUUCUCAUUCUUCUCCUUCUUAUUUUCCUUCUUUUUCGGCUCCUUCUUCUUCUCCUUCUUUUUCUUCUCCUCCUUCUUCUGCUCCUUCUCCUUCUUCUUCUUCUACUCCUUCUUCUUCUUCUCCUUCUUCUUCUGCUCCUUCUCUUUCUUCUUCUCCUUCUUCUUCUGCUCUUUCUCCUUCUUCUUCACCUUCUUCUUCUUCUGCUCCUUCUUCUUCUGCUCCUUCUCAUUCUUCUCCUUCUUUUCCUUCUUCUGCUCCUUCUUCUCCUUCUUCUUCUUCUUCUUCUUCUCCUCCUUUUCCUUCUUCUUCUUUUCCUUUUUUUUCUUCUUUUCCUUCUUUUUUUCCUUCUUCUUCUUCUCCUUCUUCUCCUUCUGCUCCUUCUUCUCCUUCUCCUUCUUCUUAUUUUCCUUCUUCUGCUCCUUCUUCUCCUUCUUCUUCUGCUCUUUCUUCUUCUCCUUCUUCUUCUUUUCCUUCUUCUUCUGCUCCUUCUUCUCCUUCUCCUUUUCCUUCUGCUCCUUCUUCUUCUCCUUCUCCUUCUUCUCCUUCUUCUUCUUUUCCUUCUUCUUUUCCUUCUCCUUCUCCUUCUUCUUCUCCUUCUUCUCCUUCUUUUCCUUCUUCUUCUGCUCCUUCUCCUUCUUCUGCUUCUUGUACUCCUUCUUCUGCUUCUUCUCCUUCUACUUCUCCUUCUUCUUCUCCUUCUUCUUCUGCUCCUUCUUCUUCUCCUUCUCCUUCUUCUGCUCCUUCUCCUUCUUCUUCGCCUUCUCAUUCUUCUUCUUCUUCUUCUUCUUCUCCUUUUUCUUCUCCCUUUUCUCCUUCUUCUUCUGCUCCUUCUCCUUCUUCUUCUGCUCCUUCUCCUUCUUCUUCUCCUUCUUCUGCUUCUUUUACUCCUUCUUCUGCUUCUUCUCCUUCUAAUUCUCCUUCUUCUUCUUCUGCUCCUUCUCAUUCUUCUCCGUCUCCUUUUCCUUCUCCUUCUGCUCCUUCUUCUCCUUCUUCUUCUUCUUCUCCUUCUUCUGCUUCUUUUACUCCUUCUUCUCCUUCUUCUGCUUCUUCUCCUUCUCCUUCUUUUCCUUCUUCUUCUGCUCCUUCUUCUCCUUCUUCUUCUGCUCCUUCUUCUUCUCCUUCUCCUUCUUUUCCUUCUUCUGCUCCUUCUCCUUCUUCUUCUUCUCCUUCUGCUUCUUUUACUCCUUCUGCUUCUUCCCCUUCUACUCCUCCUUCUUCUUCUUCUGCUCCUUCUUCUCCUUCUUCUUCUGCUCCUUCUUCUUCUCCUUCUCCUUCUCCUUCUUCUGCUCCUUCUUCUUCUUCUUCUCCUUCUUCUUCUUCUUCUUCUCCUUCUUCUCCUUCUUCUCCUUCUUCUCCUUCUUCUUCUCCUUCUGCUCCUUCUGCUCCUUCUCCUUCUUCUUCUUCUUCUCCUUCUUCUCCUUCUUCUUCUUUUGCUCCUAUACAGAAUCUCAUAGAGAUGUUUGAAGACCACAGAAGUGAAAUCAGGUAAAACAUU